rnacentral:lncRNA from 1 species
AUUUUAUUAGGUAAAAACAAUGGAUUAAGAAAUGUAAUAAAAGUACUUUAACCCAAUAAUUCCAUUUUAUACUAUAUACUAAAAUACAGAAAAUAAUCACAUUGUAGAAUGCAUUUAUACCAUUUAUAAUUAUUAUAAUUCAUUACAUUUAUAGUUAGUACAGUCAAAAUUUAAGCCAUUUUUAUUUAGUAAAUCUAAUUCCACCAGUCAAUCAAAAAUUAUUUGUUGAUUUAUUACUAUUUUGAUCUGGCACCUUUAAUUAUUGGUAAUAUUCUUUUAUUUUUCUUUUUCCUACUUAUGUUUAGAGGUCUGCAGUUCUGUAUACCUCCUUAUGUUCCCAAAAGAGAUUAACUCUAGGGUUUUUUAGACUCUAAUAUUUCCCUAGGCUUAUUUGUUUUAUUUCUCUUAAAGCAGUAGAAUUCACAUGUAUUUGAACCCUUCAGUGGGUUUUUCUCUCCUUUCUACCCACUAUCACAUUGCAAUUAACUCUUUCUCAGAUUUUCACUUAGUCUAAUUAUUAGAAUGAAUAUUCAAGUUAUCCUACUUUACAGCAAGGGUUUUUUAAAUGAUGUAACUUCUGCACAUACUAUUAAGAAUACUAUAAAUCUCUGUGCUUCUUGUUAAAACAUUGGAAUAAAUAGUCAUAAAAAUAAGCAUUUCUCAAAAUAAAUAACAUCUUGAUAUUGCAGAAGAAACAAAAUAAUCAUAAGGAAUUGGGUACAUAAACAGAAAGAAGUAAAACUACAAGUAUAUUCAGAAUAAGGAAAUAAAAUUCAUAUGGUUAAGUAAUAUAUAUAUGUGCACAUAUAUAUAUCAAACAAAGCAUUUAUAGCCAGACUAAAAUCUCACCAAAUAUUUAACUUCUCCAUUAAAGAUUUUUUAAAACAUGUUAACCAUCAUUUUACUGAAUACUUAAAUUUUAUCUUGAAAUUUGAAAGCUGAGAAGCAUGGUUUAUACAUAAAUAUUGAGAAUAAGUAUUUUAACAGAAACUUAUUCUGCCUUAUUAGGUUAUAUUGCCAAGUUCAGAAGAAAAUAAUGUGUCUGAUUUGUGGAAAUCUACCACUAUUGAAGUAAUACCAUUUCUGUUCUCCUUCAAGUUAACAGGUUUAAAAGGGAGUUUCAUUCAUAUAAAUGAUCAAGAUUGUGACUGGCAUAUACAGUGGAAAAGGAAGAAGGGCAAGUGUUUUACUAUACGAUCACAUAUGGGUCAUACGCCCCUUUUACUACCUAUAUGCCCAUCCUGCCACCUCUAAGACAUAAAGUUCCAUAGCCAGAGAUACAGGACUGGUGAAAUGAAGAUGGCUUAUGAUGAAACCUGCUGCCUUCUUAAAAUUGCAACCACUGCACCUUUUCUGGAAGCCAGAUCAAGUUUCAAACUUGCAGCACCAAUGAGGCAUUUGAAGAUGAUUCGCUUAGCCUCAGUGAAAGUCUAGAGAGCCUAGCAUCACAGUCCCAAUUCAGCACCCCAAUCUCUGACUUACAAUUACCUCUGGAUCUCAAGGAAGAUUUAUGUAUAUAUGUUUCCUUUUACCUAUUUCUAUGUCUUAUAGGUUGAAUGUAUGUAUGCAUAUGGAUUUGAGGAUUACAGAGUAUUUUAAAAGUC